AACGGACCUGGGAGCAACAGCUUAGCUGGGCCAGGUGGGCAUUAGCACUCAGCCGGUGACAAGGUCAGAUGAUGCACUGGGGCCUCAAGUGUCAAGCAGAUGGUUUGGAGCCUAUGGUUGAGGCUACAGGGAGCCAGUGCUGGCUUUGGGCUUUUUUCCCUCCAUUCUGAGGCGACCUCCCUCUCCCCAAGCAGAGCAAUUUCCCAAAGCAUUUUCUCUAAUUUGUAGUCGUUUUCCUAACCCAGAAGCAGUCAAGAGUCUCCAGCUUCUCCCAGCCCAGCAUAUAGUCCACGAGCCAUGUCAAGACGCAGUCAUUGAGGACUGGCCUGGUGGCCCAGUGGUGAAGCAUCUGUCUGCCAAUGCAGGGGACACGGGUUAGACCCCCUCUCUGGGAGGAUCCCACAUGCCACCGGACAACUAAGCAUGAGCGCCACAUCUACUGAAGCCAUGGAGCUCUGCAACCAGGAGAAGAGAAGCGAAGCCACCGCAGUGAGAAACCCGUGCAUCGCAAUCAGAGAGUAGCCCCUGUCUGCUGCAACCAGAGAAAGCCCAAGGGCAGCAACGGAGAUCCAGUGCAACCAAAAAUAAAUAAUCAGCUUUUGAAAGACACCUUUAAUCAGCACCUACUGUGUACGUGCCCAACUGCCUAAGAGGGCCCUGGUGGUGAGAAGCGAAGAUGAGAGACAGGAUGAGAAAGACAGUCUUUGCCAUCAAGGAGAUACAGCGUGC
ensembl:lncRNA